rnacentral:rRNA from 1 species
CCUACGGGUGGCAGCAGUGGGGAAUAUUGGGCAAUGGGCGCAAGCCUGACCCAGCAACGCCGCGUGAAGGAAGAAGGCUUUCGGGUUGUAAACUUCUUUUGUCAGGGAAGUGUAGAAGACGGUACCUGACGAAUAAGCCACGGCUAACGACGUGCCAGCAGCCGCGGUAAUACGGAGGAGGCGAGCGUUGUCCGGAUUUACUGGGUGUAAAGGGCGUGUAGCUGGGUUGACAAGUCAGAUGUGAAAGCCUGCGGCUUAACCGCAGAACUGCAUUUGAAACUGUUAGUCUUGAGUACUGGAGAGGCAGACGGAAUUCCUAGUGUAGCGGUGAAAUGCGUAGAUAUUAGGAGGAACACCAGUGGCGAAGGCAGUCUGCUAGACAGCAACUGACAGUGAGGCGCGAAAGCGUGGGGAGCAAACAGGAUUAGAUACCCUUGUAGUC